GACAAAGCAACUAGCAGGCAUCGAACCAUCCAAGCAUCCAAAAAAUCCAAACAUCAGACAACAUGAGAAGAUAAUAGAAAGUAACCAAAGGAACUUUUAGAGGACCAUAUUUCCUCUGCUAUUUCUCAGCCACCGUCGCUAGGGUUUCGAAGGUUGACGGCGGCGUUCACCUUUUCUUCUUCUUCUCUGCAAAAAAGAAUAAUAAGGAUAGAAAGCCCUUGAGGGAGUUGUGGGAUCUGCAGGAUUGCGAGAUCGGUGAGAUGUGAUAGGAAUGGCCCAAGAUCUCCGACGAUAUUUGCGGCCGAUUUUGUGGGAUUUGAAGGCACGGACAUUGGCAUUUGCGAGAUCAGGAGAUCAAUGAAUGUACG
rnacentral:lncRNA from 1 species